rnacentral:rRNA from 1 species
AUUUUNUNAAUGGGCGAAAGCCUGAAGCANCGACGCCGCGUGGGGGAUGAAUGGCUUCGGCCCGUAAACCCCUGUCAUUUGCGAACAAAUUAUUUUACCUAACACGUAAAGUAUUGAUAGUAGCGGAAGAGGAAGGGACGGCUAACUCUGUGCCAGCAGCCGCGGUAAUACAGAGGUCCCAAGCGUUGUUCGGAUUCACUGGGCGUAAAGGGUGCGUAGGCGGUCGGGUAAGUCUGAUGUGAAAUCCCGCAGCUUAACUGCGGAACGGCAUUGGAUACUAUUCGGCUGGAGGAGUGGAGGGGAGACUGGAAUUCUCGGUGUAGCAGUGAAAUGCGUAGAUAUCGAGAGGAACACCUGUGGCGAAGGCGAGUCUCUGGACACUUCCUGACGCUGAGGCACGAAAGCCAGGGGAGCAAACGGGAUUAGAUACCCCGGUAGUCCUGGCCCUAAACGGUGCGCAUUUGCUGUGAGCGGAAUCGACCCCGCUCGUGGCGAAGCUAACGCGUUAAAUGCGCCGCCUGGGAAGUACGGCCCGCAAGGUUAAAACUCAAAGAAAUUGACGGA